rnacentral:lncRNA from 1 species
AUAUUUUCUGGGCCUGGCUGUUCAAGCUGCUGUUUGUGGGGGGCUCAGUAUAUGAUUAGAGUGGACAUUUCCUCUCUUGGAGAACUUUGAUGGAGUCCUCAGAGGUCGUCUAACUCUGGACCCUCUUCUCCUAUAGUCGCAUUGGUGUGCCCCAUGGAAUGAUUGAGACUGGCCGGGAGACAUCAAGAGGUAUUAAUGUGUAUUUUGCAAGGAAGGUGCAGGAGCUGGGGCCUUACCUGCAGUUGCUGAUGGAUUUCUUAGUGAGAAAAAUGGUUACAUGUUCAUUGUGAAUCUGCAAAGCGGGGGCACUACUCAUUGUUGUCACUCACGGGUAGAAGAAGCCAAUGGAGGCUCGAUUUGGACAUGAACUUCCCAGGGACUAGAGAAUGCGGCGCUUAAAACUUCUGCUAAAUUAUGUGUUUCCUUUGUGCUUCCAUUUCUUUGGCCACAGCAAGUCACAUGACAUGAUAGGAAACACAACCCUCCCACAAAGCCAGUGGAGAACUGGAAUCUUUGCAAAUGGCCCUCAAGCCUGUCAUCUAUGUGCAUGGUAACAGGAGAGGGAAUUGGAAAGGUGAGUUAGGGGCUGCUUUCUGAAGUUGUGUUUGCAAAACACACAAACCAGUUUAAUAUGGUCAGGCUUUGUGUCCCUGCCCAAAUCUCAUCUUGAAUUGUAAUCCCCAGAUGUUGAGGGAGAGACCUGGUGGGAAGUGACUGAAUCAUGGGGGCAGUUGCCCCCCUGCUGUUCUCAUGAUAGUGAUGAGUUCUCAUGAGAUCUGAUGGUUUUAUAAGGCAGU